rnacentral:sRNA from 1 species
GGGUGAUACGACCUGCACAAAUGCCAACUUUUAGCGCACGGCUCUUUACGGAGCCAUUUCCCUGGACCGGAGACAGGAAUCGUCUUCGGUCUUUUUUU